CUCCCCGCCGCCGCCCAAACCCUCUGUUUUUCUCUCUCCUGCCAAUCCCCUCAUCGCCUCCGCUCCCACGCCGCCGAAUCCGAGACCUGAUCUCGGAUUCACCGCAGCGACGCGACCAAACCCUCAGGCGAUCCCCGGCACCUCCUCCCCGACGCUUCAGCCAUGGCAGGAAUGGCACCGGAAGGUUCCCAGUUUGACGCUAAGAACUAUGAUUCUAAGAUGCAGGAGCUGCUGAGCCAAGGUGAGACUGAGGAGUUCUUCACCUCCUAUGAUGAAGUUCAUGAGAGCUUUGAUGACAUGGGUCUCCAAGAGAACCUCCUCAGAGGAAUUUAUGCUUAUGGUUUUGAGAAGCCUUCUGCCAUCCAGCAAAGGGGAAUCGUUCCUUUCUGCAAGGGGCUUGAUGUUAUCCAGCAAGCACAAUCUGGAACAGGAAAGACUGCUACUUUCUGUUCUGGAAUCCUUCAACAGCUUGACUAUGGUUUGGUUGAGUGCCAGGCCUUGGUCCUUGCUCCCACACGUGAGCUUGCACAGCAAAUUGAGAAGGUCAUGCGUGCACUUGGUGACUACUUGGGUGUGAAGGUUCAUGCAUGUGUUGGAGGAACCUCAGUUCGUGAGGACCAAAGGAUUCUUGCAAGUGGAGUGCAUGUCGUUGUUGGUACUCCUGGUCGUGUGUUUGACAUGCUCCGCAGGCAGUCUCUGCGCCCUGACAACAUCAAGAUGUUUGUCCUCGAUGAAGCUGAUGAGAUGCUUUCCCGUGGUUUCAAGGAUCAGAUUUAUGACAUCUUCCAGCUUCUCCCAGGGAAGAUUCAAGUUGGUGUCUUCUCUGCCACCAUGCCCCCUGAAGCCCUUGAGAUUACCCGCAAGUUCAUGAACAAGCCAGUGAGGAUCCUUGUCAAGAGGGAUGAGCUCACCCUUGAGGGUAUCAAGCAGUUCUAUGUCAAUGUGGAGAAGGAAGAGUGGAAGCUCGACACACUGUGUGACCUGUACGAGACUCUUGCCAUCACCCAGAGUGUCAUCUUUGUGAACACCCGCCGCAAGGUGGACUGGCUCACCGACAAGAUGAGGGGCAGGGACCACACCGUCUCCGCCACUCACGGAGACAUGGACCAGAACACUAGGGACAUCAUCAUGAGGGAGUUCAGAUCAGGUUCUUCACGUGUGCUCAUCACCACUGACCUGCUUGCUCGUGGUAUUGAUGUCCAGCAAGUGUCCCUUGUCAUCAACUAUGACCUCCCAACCCAGCCAGAGAACUACCUGCAUCGCAUCGGGCGUAGUGGUCGGUUCGGGAGGAAGGGUGUGGCCAUCAACUUUGUGACCCGUGAAGAUGAGAGGAUGCUGUUUGACAUCCAGAAGUUCUACAACGUGGUGAUUGAAGAGCUCCCAGCCAACGUUGCCGACCUUCUGUGAUCGGGCGGGCUGUCGAGAACAUAUGGUAAGGGGGUCCUGACAGGGCUUUGUUUUUGUUGAAGUAUCACCAAACUUUCUUGUCUGUGGGUGGGGGGGUUCAAGUGAUAAAUGGUCUGGGGUUCUACUUUAAAGUCGUGGUCGUGGACAAUUUGGGAUUUAUUAAGCCAUGUUUUGGGAAUUUUUGUAGUUGCUAGGCUGUGGUUCUAUGUGCUGAGGAGGGAGGCGCUGCUGCUCAUGUUGCUGUUGCUGGAGUCCUCACUUUAUUUGUUAAGACUAUGUAAUGACCGAAUGAUGUUAUUUGUUUGUGUCAUCCUUGACUCUUUACCUACCGCAUGUAAUCCUGCAAUCGGUACUAGUAAUGUUAUCGUUAUUAAAAACUGUUUACUCUUUUUUU
rnacentral:rRNA from 1 species